GGGGCUGUAGCUCAGUGGUACAGCACUUGCCUUAUAUGCAUGAGACACUAGGUUUGAUUCUCAGCACCA
rnacentral:tRNA from 1 species